UGGGUCAGAUAAAGCAAAACGAGCACUCGCUACGAUUUCGUUGAUUUUUCACUGACGAAAGACGUCAAAAAGGUAAAACCGACCACAAAUUUAGUUCCUCGUUUUUUCUGUAGGGCGCAGUUCAUUCGUUUAGUAUUCUCGAUGGCGCAAUCAUUCGACGUUUGCAUCGCCUUAAAUAAUAUUAAAAUAUUAUAUUGAAUUGUGUAUUAGGUAUCAAAAAUGCAAGAAACAGAAGACAAAGUUGAAGAGAAGACCGGAGCCAUGACUUCUGACAUCAUUUCCAUAUUGUCUUCAGAAAUGCUUUCAAAGCAAUUCGAAGUUUCUACCAAUGCCUGUGAUUGGUCAUCCAUUAUGGCGUCCUUCUAUUUGGACCAAUCAGAUUCAUCGUUAAAGGGUGCGUUGCGCGGAGUGUGGUGGAGUGCAACAGUCCUCUUCGAAGCUUCGUCUGUUUGGCACGUGUCUGCAACAGGUAUCGGCCGGUAACGGAAUAUACCGAAGAAUGCCGAAGCGGUACCGACCGGUUUUCGUCGGGAAGGAAGGUCUCGCCAUUUCUCUCGCGAACGUCGAAGUGACAAGACGCGUUGAGAGCAUCCUUCCGCAUAAGUAAUAGAUAUUUUCUUGAUACUGAAAAGAUGUCAUGCGAUACGAUGCUAUGAUACUUGAUAUUGAUGAAUUUCCGAAUUUUGCCGAGUUCCUGAACACCCUGAUGACUGGGCCGAUGAUUUCCUUCACGACUUCCGUCUUCUCCUAUAAGACAACCUCCUACCUAGUUGUUGUGCAGCCUCCUAUCUGGUUGUUGAGCAUCCUUCUACUUGACUGUCGGAAGAAGAGUAUAUCUGCGAACGGUGAGUCGCAUGUUUUAUGGUUCCUCCGGUGCCCAAUCAUGUCGUAGGACGAAUGGUCCGAAUCGACACGGGUUACUGGUUGUAUAUGUGGUUGGCGAGUAUAGUGACCAUGGGUAUGAUCAUACCCAUGAGUAGUAACAUUUUUGUUGUGUUUCAUUUCAUUUAGUUUAGGCUAGGUCUUCUUGUACUUCGCGUUUAAAUA